AAUGCACAUAUAUAUAUAUAUAUAUAUAUAUUUUUUUUAAGUUCACACAUAUUAAGCUAUAUAAUUUUCUAUUUUGUUAGAUUUUUGUAAAAAAAAAAACAAAAAUUAUGGUAAAGUAAUUAAAAUUAGUUAUAUAUGUAUAACACAUGUGUACAUUUGUAAUUAAAACUAAAAAAAAAAAUAAAAACUAGUAGUUCGUUUUGGAUAUAUACAGUUAUUAUUAUAUAUGUGUGUACAUUUUUUUGUGUCUAUUUUGCUCACAUAUACAUAUAUAUACAUAUAUAUAUAUAUAUAUCAGUGCAAAUACCGAAUUGUGUGAACAUAUAAGUCUAUACAUUUAUACUUACAUUGUCAACGUAUUUAACGCAUAUACAUGUGUACGCUAAUGCAUAUAUGAAGAUAUGUACGUACGUGUAUAAAUAUAAACAAAAAUGAUGGCCGAAGAAUACAAUGAAAAAGAUGUCACAAAUGUUGAUAAUGAAAAAACGCUAGCUACGAAAUUGGAACCUGAGAAAUUAUUUGAAGAUCAGGCAGAGGCAAACGAAACCGAGAGAAACCAGACAGAAUCAAACGAAGCCGAAGAAAAUCAGACAGAGGCAAACAAAACCGAAGAAAAACAGACAGAGGCAAACAAAACCGAAGAAAAACAGACAAAACUAACCGCAAAAAAACUCACCUCUAACUAUGAAGAUGUUCAAAAACACUUUGAGACAUUAAAUGAUACGGUUGAAAACAUGAACAUGCAUUUUAAUAAGGUUUUAGAAAAAAAUGAAGAAAAAUAUAUUUUGGCAUUUAAUACAUAUAUGUAUGACGUACAAAAAGAAAUAAUAUUACUAAAAAAAGCAGUGAAAGAAGAAAAAAUUAAGCAGUUGAAAGAUGAAAGAGUAACGAGUUUACAAAAGGAACUAAAGUGGUACAUAAAUGAAUGUUUACGGCUAGAUGAUGUUUCUCAGUUUUUUAAAAAAGAAGCAGAAAAGUGGAAACGAAACAGCGAACUUAUGAAAGAUCAUAUGUUAUUCUUAGAAGCAAAACUUUCAAAGUUAUUGGAUAAAAAAAUUAAAGAAGAAAGCAUAAAAAAUAAGGAAAUAAAAAAAGAAGAUGAACAUGGUACCGAAGUGACAGAACAUAAAGAAAGUAAAAACAUGGACAAAAAAGAAGCAGCUACAGAAGCAGNNNNNNNNNNAGAAGCAGGAAAAGAAGCAGGAAAAGAAGCAGGAAAAGAAGAAGAAGAAAAAAACAAGCAAACAAAAUUAAAAAUGUCCACAAAUGAAGACAAUAGAAAAAAUAAAAAAAAUGACUCUUACACUAAAGAUAGUGCAAGCAAAAAAAAAAAAGACGUUACAGGAAGAGAUAAUACAGGAAGAGAUAAUACAGGAAGAGAUAAUACAGGAAAAGAUAAUACAGGAAGAGAUAAUACAGGAAAAGAUAAUACAGGAAGAGACACAGAUUUAAACCAUUUAAUAAAACAAAAAGAAAAAACAAAUAAUAUGAUAUGUAAAGAGUUAGACUACAAGAUAAAGAUUUUAGAAAAAAAAUUAAAAAAACAAAUAAGCAUUAAUGAUGACUUACAAGAAAAACUAACCCAACGUUAUAUUGAAAAAUCUCAAUAUGAGAAGUUAUUUAUCGACUGUAUACAUGAAAUUAAAAAAGAUUUGGAAAAAGAAGCUAAAUAUAACGAUAAAGAAAAAUAUAUCGAAAAUAAUUUUUCAGAAUUAAUAAAUAAAGAAGAGUUAAGUUAUUUUACAAAAGAAGAAAAAAAAAAAAAAAAAAAAAAAAAAAGAACAAAAAAAAAAACAGAACAAAAAAAAAACAUAGCAAAAUAGAGCAAAAAAAAUAAAAAAAUCGGAUAUAUGUGUGUGUACA
rnacentral:lncRNA from 1 species